rnacentral:rRNA from 1 species
UACGUAGGGGGCUAGCGUUGUCCGGAUUUAUUGGGCGUAAAGAGCGUGUAGGCGGCCAGGUAGGUCUGCUGUGAAAACUCGAGGCUCAACCUCGAGACGUCGGCGGAAACCAUCUGGCUAGAGUCCGGAAGAGGAGAGUGGAAUUCCUGGUGUAGCGGUGAAAUGCGCAGAUAUCAGGAAGAACACCCGUGGCGAAGGCGGCUCUCUGGGACGGUACUGACGCUCAGGCGCGAAAGCUAGGGGAGCAAACAGG